GAUGAACGCUGGCGGCGUGCCUAAUACAUGCAAGUCGAGCGAACGGACGCGAAGCUUGCUUCUCUGAUGUUAGCGGCGGACGGGUGAGUAACACGUGUAUAACCUACCUAUCAGACUGGGAUAACUUCGGGAAACCGGAGCUAAUACCGGAUAAUAUUUUGAACCGCAUGGUUCAAAAGUGAAAGACGGUCUUGCUGUCACUUAUAGAUGGAUCCGCGCUGCAUUAGCUAGUUGGUAAGGUAACGGCUUACCAAGGCAACGAUGCAUAGCCGACCUGAGAGGGGGAUCGGCCACACGGGAGCUGAGACACGGUCCAGACGCCUACGAGAGGCAGCAGUAGGGAAUGUGCCGCAGUGGGCGAAAGCCUGACGGAGCAACGCCGAGUGAGUGAUGAAGGUCUUCGGAUCGUAAAACUCUGUUAUUAGGGAAGAACAUAUGUGUAAGUAACUGUGGACAUCUUGACGGUACCUAAUAAGAAAGCAACGGCUAACUACGUG
rnacentral:rRNA from 1 species